GUUUACGUCUAUUGCAUGAAAGGAAGAAAAAAACAAAAGCCUUUGUAUUAUUAUUACCCUCCUAAUUUGUCAUUUUGGUUGAGUGAGGCAUAUUGUCAAACAGCUUAGCCAUACAACGAGUUUAGUAAGAAAUUAUACAUAAAACUCCCAUAGAUUAGGCAAAAUAAUCCCUCUCUUCAUCUAGUUUUUUGUGUCGGUAGUGAAUUUAACUGUAAAAGCUGCUAUCUAUAAAUAGUCUCCCCUCCUUCUCGUGAUCCCUCACAAUUAUUACGACAAAUCUUUGACUCUUUUUCUUACCAAAAAAGAAAGAAAAAAAAAAGAUUGUUUUCUCUUACCAGUCCAAACCAGAUCUAAUAACAAGGGUGUUAAAAUUUUCUUGAUUUUGCAAUUUGCAGGACUGUAAUGUCGUCUACUGUGAAAUCUUUGUAUUCAAAUGGCGUUGAUGUAACGAAAUCUGAGACCCCUUUUGUUGUUUCUGAUCCAAUUUUAAGCAAUGGAACCAAAAAUUCCAAGCCGUUCAAGAUUUUUAUAGGCUAUGAUCCACGAGAAGAUGUUGCUUAUGAGGUUUGUCGUUAUUCCCUUUUGAAAAGAUCAUCAAUCCCACUUGAGAUAACACCCAUUAAGCAAUCUGAGUUGAGGCAACAGGGGUUGUAUUGGCGUGAAAGAGGGAAAUUGGAAAGCACUGAGUUUUCGUUUUCGCGAUUUUUGACACCCCAUUUGGCUGAUUAUGAGGGUUGGGCUAUGUUUGUUGAUUGUGAUUUCUUGUACUUAGGUGAUAUUAAAGAAUUGAGGGAUAGGGUUGAUGAUAAAUAUGCUUUAAUGUGUGUACAACAUGACUAUACUCCGAAAGAGACUACGAAAAUGGAUGGUGCAGUGCAGACUGUUUAUCCUCGGAAGAAUUGGUCAUCCAUGGUUCUUUAUAACUGUGGGCAUCCAAAGAACCGGGCUUUAACACCCGAGGUGGUGAAUUCUGAGUCCGGGGCAUUUCUUCAUCGAUUCAUGUGGUUGGAGGAUGAGGAGAUUGGGGAGGUUCCAUUUGUGUGGAACUUCCUUGUGGGGCAUAAUAAGGUCGUUGAGGGUGAUCCCGCUACACUUCCUAAGGCAAUUCACUAUACACUUGGUGGACCCUGGUUUGAGGCUUGGAAAGAUUGUGAAUUUGGUGAUUUGUGGUUGAAGGAAUUGGAAGAGUGCAAGAAGGCAAAGGGGAAGGUUGGUUAAGACGAUGUAGACAACGUCAUUUAAAUUGCAGUGUGUAUUUUAAGCGGUAUUUCUCUGUGAAUGUUGGUUAAUGCUGCAGAUUGCAUAAGCAUCACAUGUUGAAGAGGAUUGUUGGCCACUGGCCCAUCUUCUCCUCAGAGGUCUACCUUCUUAAUGUGGUAACUGCAGCAGAGAUCACAGGAAUCAUUGAAUGCUCAAAUAAUUGAGGUCUCAACGUGAAAAACGGGUUCUGAAGAUCAAGUACUUCCUCCGUUUCAAUAUGUUCGCCUUUCUUUCCUUUCUAGUCUACUGCCUCUUUCCUUUUUCGACAACUAUUCAAUUCCAACUUUCCACACGGAAAGUUUAAGACCACAAGAUUCAAAAGUCUUCUCUACUCCGUGUCAGGUCAAAGCGAGAAAAAACAAAUUGAAACAGAGGGAGUAGGGGUUCAAUAAUGUAAGAUAGCUCGUGAUGUUGUCUGCAACUAACUGCUUUAGUGAAGUACCUUCUAGUAGGGUGUCCCAACUUUAAAUGUUAACUUGUCCUACAUUUGUAUAAUUGAACUUGGCUGUACCCUCGCUGGAGUUCUCCAGCUACCCUUGUUCUUUUGUUGGUGAAAUCAUCAGUCUAUUGAACUAGCAAUUUUUUUCUAAAAUCAUUGAGUGAUUGUACUUUUAUUGACAUCAGAUAUGCUAAUAGUACAAAACAAGAAUGAUUAUUGAUGCAGCUAAA